rnacentral:rRNA from 1 species
GACGAACGCUGGCGGCGUGCCUAACACAUGCAAGUCGAACGAAGUGCUUACAACAGAUUCCUUCGGGAUGAAGAUGUAAGUAUCUUAGUGGCAAACGGGUGAGUAACGCGUGAGAAACCUGCCUUUCACAAAGGAAUAGCCUCGAGAAAUCGGGAUUAAUGCCUUAUGAUACUUUUUAUACGCAUGUAUGAAAAGUUAAAGCGUAAAGCGGUGAAAGAUGGUCUCGCGUCCCAUUAGCUAGUUGGCGGGGUAACGGCCCACCAAAGCGACGAUCAGUAGCCGACCUGAGAGGGUGACCGGCCACAUUGGGACUGAGACACGGCCCAAACCCCUACGGGAGGCAGCAGUGGGGAAUAUUGCACAAUGGGGGGAAACCCUGAUGCAGCGACGCCGCGUGAGCGAAGAAGUAUUUCGGUAUGUAAAGCUCUAUCAGCAGGGAAGAAAGAAAUGACGGUACCUGACUAAGAAGCCCCGGCUAACUACGUG